UUGGUAGCUCAGCUGGAUAGAGUGUCUGACUACGAAUCAGAAGGUCGGGGGUUCGAGUCCCUUCCAG
rnacentral:tRNA from 1 species